rnacentral:rRNA from 1 species
AACGAACGCUGGCGGCAGGCUUAACACAUGCAAGUCGAGCGCCCCGCAAGGGGAGCGGCAGACGGGUGAGUAACGCGUGGGAAUCUACCCAUCUCUACGGAAUAACGCAUGGAAACGUGUGCUAAUACCGUAUACGUCCUUCGGGAGAAAGAUUUAUCGGAGAUGGAUGAGCCCGCGUUGGAUUAGCGAGUUGGUGGGGUAAAGGCCUACCAAGGCGACGAUCCAUAGCUGGUCUGCGAGGAUGAUCAGCCACACUGGGACGGAGACACGGCCCGGAUUCCUACGGGAGGCAGCAGUGGGGAAUAUUGAACAGUGGGCGCAAGCCUGAUCCAGCCAUGCUGCGUGAGUGAUGAAGGCCCUAGGGUUGUAAAGCUCUUUCACCGGUGAAGAUAAUGACGGUAACCGGAGAAGAAGCCCCGGCUAACUUCUUGCCAGCCGCCGCCGUAAGAC